GUGGCGCAAUUGGCUAGCGCGUCUGACUGUUAAUCAGGAGGUUGGAAGUUCGAGCCUUCCC
rnacentral:tRNA from 1 species